ACUCCGACCGGAGACGGAAGGAGUGCUUUUAUUAGAUCAAAACCAAUCGGUGGCGGGCUUGCUCGUCAUCGUACAACUUGGUGACUCUGAAUAACUUUACGCUGAUCGCACGGUCUCGCACCGGCGACGCAUCUUUCAAAUGUCUGCCUUAUCAACUGUCGAUGGUAGGUUCUGCGCCUACCAUGGUUGUAACGGGUAACGGGGAAUCAGGGUUCGAUUCCGGAGAGGGAGCCUGAGAAACGGCUACCACAUCCAAGGAAGGCAGCAGGCGCGCAAAUUACCCACUCCCGGCACGGGGAGGUAGUGACGAAAAAUAACGAUACGGGACUCAUCCGAGGCCCCGUAAUCGGAAUGAGUACACUCUAAACCCUUUAACGAGGAUCAAUUGGAGGGCAAGUCUGGUGCCAGCAGCCGCGGUAAUUCCAGCUCCAAUAGCGUAUAUUAAAGUUGUUGCGGUUAAAAAGCUCGUAGUCGAAUCUGUGUCCCGCGCCGCCGGUUCAUCGUCCGCGGUGUCAAUUGGCGUGUCGCGGGACGUCCUGCCGGUGGGCUUAGCUUGCAAGAGCGGCCCAAAUCAAUCCUGCCGCGGUGCUCUUCAUUGAGUGUCGAGGUGGGCCGGCACGUUUACUUUGAACAAAUUAGAGUGCUUAAAGCAGGCUAAAACUUCGCCUGAAUACUGUGUGCAUGGAAUAAUGGAAUAGGACCUCGGUUCUAUUUUGUUGGUUUUCGGAACCCCGAGGUAAUGAUUAAUAGGAACGGAUGGGGGCAUUCGUAUUGCGACGUUAGAGGUGAAAUUCUUGGAUCGUCGCAAGACGGACAGAAGCGAAAGCAUUUGCCAAAAACGCUUUCAUUGAUCAAGAACGAAAGUUAGAGGUUCGAAGGCGAUCAGAUACCGCCCUAGUUCUAACCAUAAACGAUGCCAGCUAGCGAUCCGUCGACGUUCCUCCGAUGACUCGACGGGCAGCUUCCGGGAAACCAAAGCUUUUGGGUUCCGGGGGAAGUAUGGUUGCAAAGCUGAAACUUAAAGGAAUUGACGGAAGGGCACCACCAGGAGUGGAGCCUGCGGCUUAAUUUGACUCAACACGGGAAACCUCACCAGGCCCGGACACCGGAAGGAUUGACAGAUUGAGAGCUCUUUCUUGAUUCGGUGGGUGGUGGUGCAUGGCCGUUCAUAGUUGGUGGAGCGAUUUGUCUGGUUAAUUCCGAUAACGAACGAGACUCUAGCCUGCUAACUAGGCGUAUUUUGACAUCGCAAAGGCCCGCCGACAUUGGGGUUCGCUUCUUUGUCGUGCGCGGUUUUUACUGUCGGCGUACAAACAUUUCUUCUUAGAGGGACAGGCGGCUUCUAGCCGCACGAGAUUGAGCAAUAACAGGUCUGUGAUGCCCUUAGAUGUUCUGGGCCGCACGCGCGCUACACUGAAGGAAUCAGCGUGUCCUCCCUGGCCGAGC
rnacentral:rRNA from 1 species